rnacentral:rRNA from 1 species
CGAGUGGCGAACGGGUGAGUAAUACAUCGGAACGUACCUUAUCGUGGGGGAUAACGCAGCGAAAGUUGCGCUAAUACCGCAUACGCCCUGAGGGGGAAAGCGGGGGACCGUAAGGCCUCGCGCGAUUAGAGCGGCCGAUGUCUGAUUAGCUUGUUGGUGAGGUAAAAGCUCACCAAGGCGAUGAUCAGUAGCUGGUCUGAGAGGACGAUCAGCCACACUGGGACUGAGACACGGCCCAGACUCCUACGGGAGGCAGCAGUGGGGAAUUUUGGACAAUGGGGGCAACCCUGAUCCAGCAAUGCCGCGUGAGUGAAGAAGGCCUUCGGGUUGUAAAGCUCUUUUGUCAGGGAAGAAACAGCAGCUCUAACACAGACUGCGAAUGACGGUACCUGAAGAAUAAGCACCGGCUAACUACGUGCCAGCAGCCGCGGUAAUACGUAGGGUGCGAGCGUUAAUCGGAAUUACUGGGCGUAAAGCGUGCGCAGGCGGUUAUACAAGACAGGCGUGAAAUCCCCGGGCUUAACCUGGGAAUGGCGUCUGUGACUGUAUAGCUAGAGUGUGUCAGAGGGGGG